AUUGAACGCUGGCGGCAGGCCUAACACAUGCAAGUCGAACGAGCGGCGGACGGGUGAGUAAUGUCUGGGAAACUGCCUGAUGGAGGGGGAUAACUACUGGAAACGGUAGCUAAUACCGCAUACCAUCAGAUGUGCCCAGAUGGGAUUAGCUUGUUGGUGGGGUAACGGCUGACCAAGGCGACGAUCCCUAACUGGUCUGAGAGGAUGAUCAGUGACACUGGGACUGAGACACGGUCCAGACGACGACGGGAGGCAGCAGUGGGGAAUAUUGGACAAUGGGCGAAAGCCUGAUGCAGCCAUGCCGCGUGUGUGAAGAAGGUCUUCGGGUUGUAAAGCACUUUAAGUUGGGAGGCGUUACCGACAGAAUAAGCACCGGCUAACUUCGUGCCAGCAGCCGCGGUAAUAC
rnacentral:rRNA from 1 species